CCUGCAAAUGAAACCAAUGCAGAGAAUCAGUUUCCACUUAAGAUAAGGGCUGUUGACUAUUAACAUGAAACAGGCAGCUAUAAAGCUACAAGAAGUCAUUUGGAGCCCCAGGAGGAGGAACUGAUGGUCACAGUGGCAGGAUCAGACCCAAUUCCCGGCUAAGGGUUGAAGUCAGUCUUUUCCACUCUCCCAAGAGAAACAAUGGCCUUGGGACAAAAGGAAAGAGAGGUCUGGCAGACAGCGCUGUUGGUAAAAGCCUUGGUCUGCAAAAACCUGGAUCCACCUCCAAACUCUCUUAGGCUGGCCUGAACAUUCACUAAAAAUUUCUAGCAGUGAGAAGAAAAUGGAAUAUAGAGCACAUAGUUGUUCUUCUAGAAUAGCACACAUGCCCAUUUCUGCAUCAAACGCAACAGUGCUGAGGGAACCGCAGCUGCGGCAGGACUGAUGUGCUUCCCUUUGGAUGAGCUGAAGGGCCAUCGGCUGGGGUGUGCCAUGAAGGAGGGAACCAGUUGCUGCUUUCUUCUCUUUCCUCAGGAGAUGUGCCUGCCUGAUGCCCAUUCCUUUGAAGCUUUUGAUGCUAACGGAUCAGUGAUUUUCUGAGUCAUCUUGAAGCAAUGGACUGAAGCCACCGUGUGUUAGCGAGGAGCACAGCAAGUGCUGAAAGGUCUGUCAGAGAAGCCAGUGACAGAGCUCAAAGAACAGCUAAAACUUGCACUUUGACAAGAGACACUUACUGUGUAACCUGAAAAUUUACCUGAAAUACAAAAGGAAACCUGCAGCAAGGCAGAAGUCUUCAUAGGGCUCUCUUUUAUUCAAAGGCACUUACCUUUGAAUAAGUAGCACCAUUCUGCUACUUUCCUCCUCACCUCCAAGGCCUGAUCCUGCAGGGUGCUGGGCAUUUGGCAUGUUUAGCUUGUCAGUGAUGUCUCUGAAGUGUGAGGCACUUACAGGAGCAGGCCCUAAUUGCCAGGUAGAUGGUCCCAAAAGACACCAAACAUCUGGCUGUAGGAGUUUAUUAAACACAAGUGUUUUUGGAGCUUUGUCAUAUGCUAACGCUGAACAUUUUCUUCCCAAUUACCCCUAGAAAACCUGCAAAUAGUCCUUAAGUGGUAUCAGUAAAUGUUCUGCUCCUCCAAAGAUCAUUCUAAUAGUACAAAUCUGUACAUCCACUACUUAGUGACAAGGACCUCAUAUUUCCCAGCCUAUAUUAAAGCCAGAUUGAUAUAGUAGCAUUUAAUAACUGUCCAGAAACAAAGAAACAACAACAACAACAACAACCACCCACGGCAGCCACCAGGCUGUAGGAAGGCAUCGACUGCAACUUGAAGAAACAACUUUCUGCACAGACAAAAAAAAGUUUAAAACGCCGCUCAUGCUUUUCCACUCAAAGGAACAGCCUGCCCCUUCUCCUCUGAAAAGGGAAAAGAAAGCUUCCUUUGAAGAGGAAAUGGGGAAAAGGGAGAAGGGGAAAAGCUGAAAGCUGGAAGAAGCUACCAUAUGAUGCACCUAUAGCUACCUACAUGACGCACAUGCAAGCCCCCCCGAGGUCAUCAGCUGGCUUAGGGAGAAGCUGAGCAGCUGCUCAGCGAAGCCUCACGUAUCCCCACCACGAACGGUCGUCGGUCCUCAGCCGCCCCCGACACCUGCGGCACCACCGCAGGAACAACCAGCGACCCUGCUACGGCACUGCGGUGGCUGCGCUCCCGGCCCGCCCUGCUGCCCCCAGCCCCCCGAGCCCCCCGGGGCAGGAGGCGCCCAGGGCACCACCCUCCUUAAAGGGGCCGGGGCCGGCGGCCGUCCUCCCCCGCGCACGCACCUGCAAGCGGGCAACCGCCCAGAGCGCCGCCGAGGGGCUGCUCAGCAGCAGCCUCUCCCGCAGCAGGUUGCUGCCGUAGGCGAAGUACAGGAGGCUGCCGGCCCCCGCCGGGACCAGGCCGUCGCCACCGCCCGGCUCCAUCCUCCCCGCACCCCGCGGCCCCUUUAAUUCCGCUCCCCGGCGCCCGCUUGCGGGGCGGGGCCGCGGGCGCGGGGGCGCCUGCCAUUGGCUGUCCGCCGGGCGUCGCCGCGCCCCCGUUGGCUACUUCCGCCAGGCGCCCUCGGCUGAUGCCACGUGGGGGAGGCGGGUGUAGUGGCGGAUGUGACGCGCUGUGACGCAAUAAUGGUGGCGGUCGCGGGGACCCUGGAGAGCCCUCGGUAGCCUCCCGCUGACCGGCGCCCUCCUCAGGCGCCUCCCGGGGGUCCUCGGGGGGUCACGGCACAUCAUUUUUUAAUUUUUUUUUAAUCUGUGCCUAUAUUCUGUGAUAAAUUAGUAUUACAUAUAA